rnacentral:rRNA from 1 species
GGACGAACGGCUUACGGCGGGCCGUAGGCCUAAUACAAUGGUCAAGUAGUAACGACGUGAACGGAAGGAGGCUUGGCUUCUCCGGAUGAGUUAGGCGAAACGGGGUGGAGUAACGACGUAGGUAACCUAGCCUGGUAGCGGGGGAGUAACUAUUGGAAACGAUAGACUAAUACCGCAUAAUAGUAGAUGUUGCAUGACAUUUGCUUAAAAGGUGCAAUUGCAUCACUACCAGAUGGACCUGCGUUGUAUUAGCUAGUUGGUGGGGUAACGGCUCACCAAGGCGACGAUACAUAGCCGACCUGAGAGGGUGAUCGGCCACACUGGGACUGAGACACGGCCCAGACUCCUACGGGAGGCAGCAGUAGGGAAUCUUCGGCAAUGGACGUAAGUCUGACCGAGCAACGCCGCGUGAGUGAAGAAGGUUUUCGGAUCGUAAAGCUCUGUUGUAAGAGAAGAACGAGUGUGAGAGUGGAAAGUUCACACUGUGACGGUAUCUUACCAGAAAGGGACGGCUAACUACGUG